UUGUUCCGAUGUAUGUACGAUGAUGGGUGGUAAGCCCGUAUGCUCGUGUGGUGAAGGGUUGAAACUUGGAGAGGAUAUGAGAACAUGUGUUGAAUUGCCGAACGAGGAUUCGAACACGCUGGUCUACCUAAUGGGGAUUUCCCUGGUACUUUUACUUGGAAUAAUAGCAAUGAAGAAAUUCAACGCAUAGUGAAUGCACUGUGUUGUAUACAUGCCUAAUAUAGCAUCGGGUGAAACUAGAAAGAUCUAUAAGCGGAAUAAACCAUAUUCGUAUUCAAA